CUCCUGACUGCUCUCUACAAUCCGUAGAUUUCCUGGGUACUGUG
rnacentral:sRNA from 1 species